rnacentral:lncRNA from 1 species
GCAUCAGACGGCUCCGAGCCUCACUCUCCCCAGCUGCAGAACGGGGUGAUUUCGGCUUCUCCCACGGGGCUGCUGUGGGGCUCCAGUUAGACCACCACCACCGUGCCCGGCCAUGUGACUCAUAGCGCCGUCUGAAGGAUUCUUCAUCCUGGGCGACUCGGAAUCACCAUGCCUCCUGGGUUUGCUCUUCUUGCUACAAAAGGCUCCCCAGGCCUUCGCCCCAGCUCUGGAGACGCUCCUCAGCCUGGUUCAUUUGGAGCGAGCCCGGCCCCUCUGUGUUGGGAAACAGGGGUCCCUUCCAGCCUCCGGCCCUGGGCAGAGGGAGGAGGAGGCCUCGGGAUGCAGAGGCAGGAGGGCGUGGAUUAGAAACCCAUCACAGAAAUGACUUUCUUAUCACGCUACGACCUGAAUUGACAGAACCAACUCUCGAAAUUGAAUUGUCUCCCCCCUCGGCUGCCUCAGCUCCUAGUUCCUUCCCCACUGCCACCUCCACCUCUGAAAGCCCUGCUGGGAGAGACCAAGAGACAGAGAUGCAGGAGAGAAGCAAAGAUGACUCAACUGAGGCACAGAGGCGUUCAGGAACCUGCUCAGCAUCUGGACAGUACCCACGACGAACAUUCCAGGUUUGUCACAUGCGGGGAGUCCCAACGGUAAAAGCCCAUCUACACCCAGAUCAACCUGAGGUGGGGGUGGGAGGUGGAACCUGUGCCCAUUUUGCAGGUGGGGAAAUGGAGGCCUAGCCCACAGAUGCCUUUAGCUUUAGGAUUAGAAUUAAGGCACUCCCAGGAUUCGGGGCUGGCGUUUUCAGAUGGUGUCCUGGGUGCCAGUGUCUAAGUCUGAGAUGGGGCAGUAGGCCAUGCACCCAACACUCGCCUUCCUCUGUCCUCCCUGCACGCCCCCCUUCCCUGGACUUGGUUCUCAAUCCCAGUACCCUCUAGGCCUGCGGAGGCCCUUUGUCCCACACGAAGGUUGAGCUGGAGAGAGGGACUCACCUGAGAGCAGGUGCAUUCCCAGAUAACCCCCAGAUGCAAAUCGCAGGCCUCUGCAGGUCCAGAGUGGAAGGUGCAGAAGUGAGAGGGCCGAGCUCCACCGGUUCGUGAUCCCUAGUGACCCUGGAACAAGGUUCUUUACCUGAGUUACCUCAUCUCGUCUUCUGGACAGCCCAUAAGCCAGCGCAGCUCCCAUGCCCACUUUGCAGACCGAGAAACCCAGUCUCUUGUGCAGCUCUUCAUGCAGAGUCUUAAUGAGGACCUGGUUGAGCUGGGAUUCAAACCCAAGUUAGUCUGGAGUUCCCGCUGUGGCGUAGCGGGUUAAGAAUCUGAUGGCAGUGGCUCGGGUCACGGUGGGGGCGCGGGUUCAUUUCCCGACCCCUUAACAGUGGGUUAAAGGAUCCAGCAUUGCUGCAGCUGCGGCUUGGAUUCAGUCGCUGGCCCAAGAACCUCCAUGUGCCAAGGAUGCGGCCGUAAAAAACCAAAACAGAACAAACCCCCCAAGUCUGUCUGAAUCCAGAAUCCGAGCUCUUAACAGCGCGCUCCUCCUUGCAGGGGCAGAAGUCAGGAAGUCCCUGCCACAGAGGCCCUGGAAGCAGGGCCUAGAGUGCGACGCCAGUGGACAAAGCCUGGGCUGGGGACCAGGUGACCUGGGUACAUCUCUCCUGGGCCCCACACUCACGAAUACUUCCCUGAGUUCACGGGCAAAAUGGAGAUGAUAAUAAUAGGGCCUCCUCUAUGGGGCGAUUAUCUUACAGGAACGAGUUUUCAGAAGCACGUAUCACAGUGCCUGACACAUAGUAGGUGCCCCGUCAAAGCUCGCCAUCAUUUCUGUGGAUGAGUUCACAGCAGCCUCUUAAGAGCGUGGGAGCAGCGUGCGUGAGGCGCUUUGCCGUGUGCCCUGGUCUCGGAGACUCCCCGAACUGAAAGCGUCGAGGGCAAGGCCCCCGUGUUUCAGGUGGGAACCUGGGGCCCAGGCUUGCAGCAAGCGAGUGGCAGGGCCAGGCCUCGGCCUUGGGGGCUCCCUGCAGCCUCCCUGCUCCAGCCAGGGUGGCAGUUCUCUUCCCAUCUCCUUUUGCCCUGUGUGUCCCCAUCCGUCCAUCCAGGCGUCCCGGCCAUAGGAGGCCAGCUGGACGGCUGACCCGGCAGCCCUUUCUGAGUCCAGCUGCUGACAGGAACUUGCCUGGAUAAAUGCAAAGAGACCCCCUCUGGAGGCUGCUCUUGCGGUGUCCCCAUCCAAAUGUUAAUUUUGCCAAGGCCUUGAUAAAUCUUCCUGUCGUCCCACCUGCCUGAGACAAAGAUUUCAUCUUAUUGAGAGGUGACAUUCCUGCCCUUUGGGACGAGCUAUCAAUUUAAGGCAGCGCCCAGCGUGGCGCGUGAUGAAGAACCAGGUCCCAGUGAACCCCCUUCUGCGCCCCCACCCCCAUCCUUCCCUUAAGCCCCGCGGGGCCAGCCCCCUUGAGAUAUUUUUACCUGCCCUUCUAGAAGAAGUGCGGGGACCCCACCCCUCUUGCCUGGCUCUCACCGUUUCCCUGCACACUUGCUGACGUCCACCUGUCAGCACCUGAACCUCUUUGCCUGAGGCUUGCUCAGGCCUUUAGAGCCACUUGGCUGCCUGGACGGUGGAUCAGAAUAACAUCCCCAGGGUAGCUCUUAACUACUGGCUCUUAGGCGCUGGAGUAGAAGCACCUUUGUGGGGGUGGAUACUCUGCAGCAUGAGUUCCACGCUGGCUCCCAGAAUUCCCCCACGGAGUUAAGCUCCAGUGGCCCACAGUGGUCAUGGGCUUGAUCCUCAGCCCUCAUUGGCUGUCUCCCUACCCCCCCUCAACUCCCCACCUCCUACUUCCCAAUCAACACCUUGCCCUUAGUUCCUUUUCUUCAGGUCUCUUUCUGCAGGGCUGGGCCAGGGAUUGAACCUGGGUCCCAGCACUCCAGAAAUGCUGCCAAUCCUUUUGCACCACAGCGGGAACUCCUUACCAAACAUUUUUUAGCAGCGCAAGUUGUAAUGCCCUGGAGUCAGCCAUGGAACUCAGCGGAGGUCUGACAUUUCUUGAAUGCCUACUGUGUGACAGGGACUGUGUGUUUCUUGCCUCUGGAUCAGUUUUCAUUCAAACUGAAUGCCCUCUCGAAAGUUUUGUCCCACUUUUGCAGUUGAGGAAAUAGAUGCUCAGAGAGGUGAAGUAAUUUACCCAAGGUCACACAGCCAACAAACAAGAGUCAAUAUCCAAACUCAGGCAGCCCACCCUCUUACCCCAUUCCACUCUGCCUCCUCUAGAUUGAGGCACGAAAUGGAGCCAGGAUCCACUUCCAGGUGUGAUCAACUGCCCUGUUGGGAGAAUUUCUCCCAAGGGCUUCCUGUGGGGCAGGCAGCCCCUGCAGGGUGUUAAGGACCCCACAAUAAGAAGAUGCAGCUUCUGCUCUGAAAGGGACAGGGGGAGACAGAGAUGCAUGAAAGACAGUAUGACUGGGACCCUUCCCAGAAUGCACUGCAGCAUCUUCCCAGGGAGGUCCCCUUCUUGCAGCAUCUUGGAGUAUUCGUGGUGGGAGGCAGCCGAGAGACCGUCUGUUUCAAUAUUUUCAUUUUAUGGUUGGGGCAACUGAAGCCCAAAGGAGACAGGGACUCACCCAGGGCUGCAGUCCAGGGCCAGGGCUCUUGUCUUUGAAUUCUUCUGAGCAUCACCCACCCUACCUCUGCCCCCUCCCCCACCCAACAUGUGUCUUGGUCUUGCCUUGCAUUUCCCCAACAGAGGAUCCAUCAUAAGCACUUCUCAAAACUCAGAAGCCUCAAUGUUAAAAACAAAACAAAAUAAACGGGUUUUACAUAAACUGUUUACAUUUCUAUACAACCUAAGGAAGAAGAAAUGUACAGAUUUAGGAGAAAAUAUGUGCACAUAGCAGGUAAAGGGUUAAUAGCCAUACUCAACAAAGAACUUUUACCAAUCAAUAAGGGAUAGACAGACCAUCAGGAAAGAUAAUGGACAAAAGAUAUGAGCAGGGGACACUAGUCUAAGGAGUUAAUGCCAGAGCUUUGGACUUCUGAGGAUCCCAAGAGUGGUGAAACUGUUAUAACUUGUUAAAUAAAUGCUUAUUCAUUAUUAAAAGAUCCAUUUGUAGUGUGGGUCGCACAUUACUGCUUGUUAAGCCCGUUAAUGGGCUGGGAGUCCUCCCAGAUGCCUUAUUUACAGUUACACUCGCAGAAGAAGGUGGCCACAUGCCAGAGUCAUGGCCCCCAUGGCAGGACCUGCCCCCAGCCCCCAGCCCUGUCCCCUUGGUCCCUCAGCCCCAAGCCAAGUGGCCUUAGAGUCCAUUUGCCUCUGCAGCCUGGAUGUGGCAGACCAAGGAGGCGCAUGGCUGGGGAGGCAGGAUGCCCGGUCCUGCCCCUGACUGUGUGAUCUCAGCCCGCACUUUUGGACGUCAGUUUUCCUGUCUGUAAAAUGGGUGGGUGGGCACCAGUGCUAUCAGAGGUCACUCCCACACUGAUGAGCUAAUAUUCGCGAUGAGGAGUGAAUGGCCCGGGGAGACUGGGCACCUACCAUCCUCCCUGCCCCCACUUCUAGCCGCAAGGACCGCUGCUGACCUAAUCAACUGAAACUCCAUGAAGGAGUUG